GCAAUGUAUUUUUAGGAUUUUAAUAUAGGAUAAAAGUAGAUCCCGGGGCUAUAGAUUUCACUAUAGGCCUCUCUCUUGAAAAUAACAUAUGGUAGGUAAACAAAUUACUGUUGGGCAACUAAAAGAAGAGCAAAUAAUCAUGAUGAUAUCCAAGGCAAUGAUCAUGUAUAUAGGCAUCAUGUCCGAGACAAGUAGACCGUCUCCUACCUGCAUCUAAUUACUCCACACAUCGACCGCUAUCCAGCAUUCAUCUAGAGUAUUAAGUUCAUAAAGAACGGAGUAACGUGCGACACCCCUGAUUUGACCGUACACUAAUCAUACACGCAAACGUGUACGAUCAAGAUCAGAGAUUCACGGGAAGAUAUCACAACACAACUCUAAAAAUAAAAUAAGUCAUAAAAGCAUCAUAAUACAAGCCAGGGGCCUCGAGGACUCGAAUACAAGUGCUCGAUGAUAGACGAGUCAGCGGAAACAACAGUAUCUGAGUACGGACAUAAGUUAAACAAGUUGCCAUAAGAUGGCUAGCACAAACUGGGAUAUAGAUCGAAGGAGGCACAUGCUUCCUGCCUGGGAUCCUCCUAAACUACCCCUGGUCAUCGUCGGCGGCCUGCACGUAGUAGUAGGCACCUUCAAUGUAGUAGAAGUCGUUGAAGGUGGCGUCUGGCUCCUAGGCUCCAACAUCUGGUCGCAACAACCGGGUAUAGAAAGGGGGAAAAGGGGGAGCAAAGCAACCGUGAGUACUCAUCCAAAGUACUAGCAAGCAAGGAUUUACACUACAUAUGCAUUGGUAUCAAUGAAAUGGAUAGUAUCCGUGGUCUGAACUGCAGGCCAGAAUAAAAGGGGGAUAGCUAGUCCUAUCGAAGACUACGCUUCUGGUAGCCUCUAUCUUGAAGCAGUAGAAGAGAGUAGAUGGUAAGUUAACCAAGUAUCAUCGCAUAGCAUAAUCCUACCCGACAAUCCUCUCCUCGUCGCCCUGUUAGAGAGCAAUCACCGGGUUGUAUAUGGCACUUGGAAGGGUGUGUUUUAUUAAGUAUCUGAUUCUAGUUGUCAUGAGGUCGAAAUACAACUCUGAGUCGUCCUUUUACCGAGGGACACGACUAUUCGAAUAGAUAAACUUCUCUGCAGGGGUGCACCACAUAACACAACACGCUCGACCCCUCUGACCGAACACACUUUCCUGGGUCAUGCCCGGCCUCGAAAGAUCAACACAUCGCAGCCCUACCUAGGCACACUACAGAGGUCAGCACGCCGGUCUAAAUCCUAUGCGCGCAGGGGUCUGGGCCCAUCGCCCAUUGCACACCUGCACAUUGUGAACGCGGCCGAAAGUAGACCUAGCCCCCUUAAUACAAGCGCAGGCUUACGGUCCAAUCCGGCGCGCGCCGCUUAGUCGCUGAUGUCAAGAAGGCUUCGGCUGAUACCACGACGUCGAGUGCCCAUAACUGUUCCCGCGUAGUUGGUUAGUGCGUAUAGGCCAAUGGCCAGACUCAGAUCAAAUAUUAAGAUCUCGUUAAGCGUGUUAAUUGAUGUAACCACGGACGCCGACCAGGGCCAGGCCCACCUCUCUCCUAGGUGGUCUCAACCUGCCCUGUCGCUCCGCCACAAAGGUCCACUCAGAGGGCCGUCGGGACAAACAUCCUUUUGGUCCCAAUCCGUGAAUCACUCGCGGGUACUCUAUGAGCCGACCCGAAUUUAGUCACCAAGUAUAACAUAUUAUGUAUAUAAGUAUAUACCCGUGAUCACCUCCCGAGUGAUCACGGCCCGAUAGUAUAGCUUGGUAGACGAACAAGAAUGUAGGGCCACUGAUGGAAUACCAGCAUCCUAUACUAAGCAUUUAGGAUUGCAGGUAAAGGUAACAACAGUGGUAGCAAAGACAGGAUAUGCAUCAGAAUAGGAUUAACGGAAAGCAGUAACAUGCUACACUACUCUAAUGCAAGCAGUAAAGAGAAUGAAUAGGCGAUAUCGGGUUGAUCAGGAGGGGGGGGGGGGGCUUGCCUAGUUGCUCUGGCAAAGAGGGGUCAUCAACAACGUAGUCGAUCGCCAAUCGAAGCACCAGCAGCGGCGUCAGUCCCGUAGUCUACCGGAGAGAAGAUGGGGAAGAAACAAUGAAUACAAUGCAAAUAGAUGCAUACCGAUGCAUGACAUGGCAAGUGACGGUGCCAGGUGUGCCGUAACACGGUAGGUGGUGAUACCGGCGAAGGGGGGAAAACAUCCGGGAAAGUAUCCCCGGUGUUUCGCGUUUUCGGACAGUUGAACCGGAGGGAGAAAGUUGCAUGUUCACUAUGAUAGGGGUGUGUGGCGGACGAACGGGCUACGUAUUCGAAUUUGUCUCGUUGUUCUGAGCAACUUUCAUGUACAAAGUAUUUUCAUCUGAGCUACAGAUUAUUUUAUAUUAAUUUUCAAAGUUUUAAUAUAUUUCUGACAUUAGUAUAUUUAAUUAAAUUCAAAUUAUUAAAUAGCUAUUUCGUUAAGUGCACCCAGUAUUACACCCAGUUAGAGACUGAUUGGUGGGUCUAGUCAACUGCUUUCUCAGUAGUCAAAGUGGCUUAGGUCAACAAUGAACAGUGUAGGUGGGAGCCAUCUGUCAUUGGCUAGGUGAUACACAGUCAGCACUUUGACUAGUCAAGGAGGGGCCACAUGUCAUAGACUGUGGCAAUAUUAAAAGAGUUUAUUUAAACUAAUUAACUUAGUUUGCCAGGGUGGGGCCUAGUGGUGAGUGGGUCAAAUUACUAACAAAUUUUAUUGGAGUUAAACCUAAUCGCUACAGUUGCAUGGCCCACCGCCAGUGGCUAUCAGGAUUAGUUUAAUUAGUCUGUUAAUUAUGUCUAUAAUUAAAUAGGUGUGGGUCCCGUUUGUCAGGGGCAUAGGGCGUCAUUAGUAGCUGGGUUAAUGGUGCCACGUCAGCGCAUUGGUGUUUAGUCGCCGGCAGCCACAGUACACGGUGGAGGCUCGCCGGAGUUGUGUUCCGGCGACCAUUCGGUCACCCACGAGCAUCAGUAGGACGAGCGCGUUGGCGCACAUCGAGUUGGGCUAGUGGUUGGUGCUGGAGGUGCCGGGAUGGACGCCAGCGACGAGGUCUAGCGGCAGCCGAAACAAGCGCUCGACGGAUCCGGUGAAACAAGAGAUUGUGUGAGGAAAACGGCCAGGCUACAUCCUGGGGCCUCCACGAACAUGACGGUAGCAGCAUUUCGUCCAGCGGUUAAUGACAGCGGCGACAACGAGCUUGGCCGCGGCGGCAUGGCCACGACCGGCUCUCGGCUUCGGUUACGGCUAGCUAGGCGAGGCAGGGAAGAGAGGGGAAAUAGGGCGGCGCUUACAUCGAUGAUGAGGAACAGCUCGGGGCAGCCGGAGGGAGACGACGGCGCGAAGUAGGCCGGCAAGAGGAGGCGCGAGCGCCAUGGCUGGAGGUCAAGGUUGCCGGCGGGGCAUCGGGCGCGGCACGGAGAAACAGGGCGCCGGGAGCUGUUGGGUCAGCUUGGCCCGUCGGCGGUGGAAGGGGCGCGCGCGAGGAGGCUCGAGGCGGUCGCUGGCGGCCAUGGGGAUCAGGGCGAGAAGCUCCUCUCCCCUGUGUGUGCGUUGUGUGGUGGCGGCGGUGUGGGAGGACGAGGGAACGAGGUGGGAUCGAGCGAGGGAUUCAGGUGAGGCCUAGGGUUAUAGCAGGGGAGGGGGCCGACCUGGUG
rnacentral:lncRNA from 1 species